ensembl:lncRNA novel transcript
CAAAUCUGCCAGCAGGGAGUAUAAGGAGAUGGACAAACCAUUUGGGUGUCCUCAAGGUGCAUGCAACCAUGGAACAGGAGACUGGAGGGAUCCAUGGCGGCCAACCAUGGGCCUGGUCCCUCCGGUAUGGGCCAUGAGCCAGCUGAGCCUGAGUGUGAAGAUGGAGAAAAGGCUGACCGGAGUCACGAGGACAUCAAACCCCAUAACCUGAGGGCAACUCAAGAAAACCACGCAGGAAGCUGAGAAAAUGCUGGAGCGUCAGGGCCAGGCAAAAACCCCUGAAUCCAUGUUCUUGGCCAUGUUAGCCAUAAUGUCCUGUGUGGUAUGUUUUCUCUCUGCAGAGGCAAAAACAUAUUGGGCAUAUGUUUCUAAUCCCCUAGUAGUAUGGCUUGUACUUUGGAGUGGCACUCCCCCUGAGAUCUAUCAUGAUCAGGGAGCAUGGGCUCCAGGACCUCUAACUCCUCCUGACAUAGAACAGUUAGACUCUCAGAACAAUGUCAUCAAUUAUAUGGCCCCACUGGAAGGACUCCCCUGGUGUAUCACUACAAAGAUAUUGCUCAACUGUAGUAGCUGUCUUACAAUUCAAGCUCAAGCAUGGUUGAGUCACCAUGGAAAAGUCAUGUGCUUAUUAGGUCUUAGUUCUAUUAAUGUAACUGGUGUGCUAACCAACCAUUCCCGGCCCAAUCACCCCAAUUGUGUUGACUAUAUGGAAUGGAUUCCCUUCAAUAGUUCCUACCCCGCUCCAUGGACCCAAUGUCUUGGCCCACUGGCUAGAAAACAAUCUAUGUUAACUGAAGACAUUGUGACUUGGGGACCUAAAGGUCAACUAGAUGGUAAAGAUAAAAUCAGACAUCAUGGCACAAACUUCACUGUCAUUGGUAGCAGACUUUCAAUGCUUCUUCUUUACACCACACCAGGAUCCAAUCCCAUUCUGCUGCCAGGGUUGCUUGGCAUGGAACAGGCUUUAUCCCGCCUCUUCUUCAGUGGCAAUAUCUAGGUAGGAAAGGUCCAAUUCAAGAAACAAUAUGGAAAGCAGCAGUCCCAUUUACAAAUGGUACUAUCUGGGUAGGGGUACUCUCUAAUACUAGUACUGCUACUCGACACAGUUUUGAUGUUACAUUUGUAAAGAGUAUCACCACUAAAUUUACGGUUUGUGUUUUUAAUCCUUAUGUCUUUAUGGCAGCUAAGAAGGACCAGCUCCAGGUAAACAAUACCCAAUUGACCUGUAAAUCUUGUCAGUUAUAUCACUGCAUUAAUCAUAGCACAUUGCAAACACAUCUCUACCUUGAUAAUUAUGGGUCGCAUCCCUGGGAUAUGGAUUCCUGUUAAUCUGUCAGAGCCUUGGGCCUCCACCCCUGCUUUGCACUUCAUGAAACUUCUAACUCAGCUUACUCAUUGUACCCGUAAAGUCUUAGGCAUGAUAAUUUUUGCUAUUAUUUCCUUGGUCACACUAAUAACUUCUGUAGUAAUGUCCUCUGUAGCUUUGCAUAGUUCUGUUCAAACAGCUCAGUACGUGGAGAACUAGACAUGUACCACCAAGAAAAUAUGGCUACUUCAGAGUAAAAUUAACACUGAGUUACAAACUGAAGUGGCAAUGUUGAAAUCCAUGGUUCCAUGGUUAGGGCAACAAGUACAAAGCUUACAAUUGCAACAGCAAUUGUGCUGUCAUUUUAAUCACACUCAUAUUUGUGUAACCAACUUAGAAUAUAACCAAAGUGAGUAUCCAUGGGACCUUGUGAAAGCCCAUUUGCAGGGAGCUUUCACAUCCAAUAUCGCCUUUGAUAUUGGUGAAUUAUGAAACAAAAUUAUUGGUUUAAAUAAGCAAACUCAAGAGUUUCAGCCUUCUUUAGAAGCCUGGACCAAAUUCCAGUGAGGUCUGGAGAGCCUCAAUCCUUGGACCUAUCUAAAGCGCCACAUUAACAUCUCAUGUAUAGUUCUGGGAAUAAUGCUGUUCUGUCUUUGUUUUCUGUUCAUAGUCUAUAAAAUUGGAUGGACUGCCAAUCAGAAAAUGAGAGCUGCCCAACCUGGCCUUACAUUCAUUCAAUUAAUGCAAAAACAGAAAGGGGGAGAUAUUGGGAGCUGAAAACCUGAGGGUCAUGACCAACUCAGCAUUCCAUUGGAGGCUAUAUGAUCAAACAGCAAACUGUUUAUCAUGAAUGCAGGAUGUGGGCAAACUCACAUCUGUGCCUGCCACCAGAAGGUAGGCUGAGGGCAAUCACUCCCUGGCACUGUGCACCUUGAGGUUAUCUACUGGAAUAUCUGGAGCCUACUGUUCAAGGAAAGCAGACAUGCAGGCCUGCACUAAAUCAUGCAACUGGCUCAUGAUCACCUGCUCCUCCCUAUUUCCUUUACUCAAUAAAUACAAAGGGCUCUAGAAGCUCAGGGCCCUUGUUCACUAGAAGCAAGGAGCCCCCUGACCCCUUCUUUUAAAACAGAUCUUUUUAUCUUUGUCUUUAUUCCUGUGUUCAUCCUCCUUUGCUCAGUCCUCUGGGGUCUGUGGCAGAAGAUAAAAAACACUAUUACAUGAGAUUUUCCACCUUUUCAUUGUCUAUCCAUUUAUUCACAUUUUCAUUUAUUCUCAGAGAAGGAACUGUUUUAAUUCCUUUUAAACGUUUUUAUUUAGUGUUCUUUGUAAAGUUUUCUGUACUUUUCUUUCUAGAUUAUAUCCUUUUUUACUUUCUUUUCAAAAUACUUUCUAAAUAAAAUACCUACC